rnacentral:rRNA from 1 species
CCUACGGGGGGCAGCAGUCGAGAAUCAUUCACAAUGGGGGAAACCCUGAUGGUGCGACGCCGCGUGGGGGAAUGAAGGUCUUCGGAUUGUAAACCCCUGUCAUGUGGGAGCAAAUUAAAAAGAUAGUACCACAAGAGGAAGAGACGGCUAACUCUGUGCCAGCAGCCGCGGUAAUACAGAGGUCUCAAGCGUUGUUCGGAAUCACUGGGCGUAAAGUGUGCGUAGGCUGUUUCGUAAGUCGUGUGUGAAAGGCGCGGGCUCAACCCGCGGACGGCACAUGAUACUGCGAGACUAGAGUAAUGGAGGGGGAACCGGAAUUCUCGGUGUAGCAGUGAAAUGCGUAGAUAUCGAGAGGAACACUCGUGGCGAAGGCGGGUUCCUGGACAUUAACUGACGCUGAGGCACGAAGGCCAGGGGAGCGAAAGGGAUUAGAUACCCCUGUAGUC